rnacentral:rRNA from 1 species
UACGUAGGGUGCAGGCGUUAAUCGGAAUUACUGGGCGUAAAGCGUGCGCAGGCGGUUUCUUAAGUCAGAUGUGAAAUCCCCGGGCUUAACCUGGGAACUGCGCUUGUAACUGGCAAGCUAGAGUGUGGCAGAGGGGGGUGGAAUUCCACGUGUAGCAGUGAAAUGCGUAGAGAUGUGGAGGAACACCGAUGGCGAAGGCAGCCCCCUGGGCUAACACUGACGCUCAUGCACGAAAGCGUGGGGAGCAAACAGG